CAAGAACGUCGCUAGAGACAUCUGUAUCGUGAGCGGACAUUACAUAAUGGCAGGAUUGUGCCGGCAAUUUCAAAAUUACAAAAAAUUUCAAGAAACAUCCAAAUCUCCAGGAUUGGAUACCUAUGCAGUUCGGAUUUCCUUGAUCCGGAUUUCUACAGCUCGAUGAUCAUGACGAAUUAACCAGCUUGAUAAAUAAACUUAAAUUCUAAGAGGCAAAAAAUCUCCCAAUUUUAUAGUACAAAUAUAUUUUUAGAAAUUUUGCACAUUCUAUGACUAUCUAAUUGUACAAAUUAAUUAUGAAAAAAACUUCCUGAUUACUUUAAAGAUCAAAUUGAAUGUUUGCCAAAUCGAAUGAUAUCAAGGACCAAGUGGAAUUUGAUUUCUUAAUUUGCUCCUAGUUUUUGAAUGAAUUCUUUGAUUGAACGCAUUGCUGAAAAAAGAAUAUUUUCUUUCACAAUUGUUUUGGAAAGCUAGAAUUGUCAUCUUAGUAUUAAAUUGCAUAUUUGUUAUUCGAUAAAAUUAUUUUCAAAUUAAAAUUAUAAUCGGAUUCAAAUAUAUAUUGCAAUAGAGUGAAAAUCGGAGAAGUGACAAUAUUAAUCAAUAUGAGAUUUAUGCAAAAUUAACUUUUAUGCCUUGUCAGUCCGAAGAUACUGCUAUUUGAUCUCCUGGGACACGUUGAUAAAAAUUUUAGCUGCGACUACUAAUUGUAAGUUGAUGUCCGGCAGUGUGGACACUAAAGAUGUUUACAUCCAACAACAUAGUCUUAAUUACAAACGUAAUACGAGAUUUAUAAAACGAGAUUUAUUGUAGUUAAUAGACGCCGAAACUCCUCUUGUUUUCUGUAAGAUAAACUUAUUAUAAUAGUUAAUGAUUUAAAAAAUUAGAAAAUAGUAAUAGAUUAUUAUUAUGUCAAUGAUAGCCGUCAUCUUUUACAUGUAAUUUUUAUCCUUCGCGUCUGAGAAUUUUUGUACUCGCGUUGAAUGUGCUCUUUUUAAGAUAGAUUUUCGAAAACAAAACUUGUAUGUAGUUACGAAUCUAUCAAAAAAUCGGCUAUAUUCAAUCACAUUAUAAUAUCGCACGUAAAAAAUAUAAAGACCUGAUCGAUGAUACGAAUACAGUAAUCCAUCUCUUGUAAUAAUAAAAAUAAAACAAUAAAAAGUCUAUUAACAAAAAAUGUUCUUUUGUUCCUGGAUUGGCACAGCUGCUCUCUCCUCUCUUCGUCGGGCUUCUUCGAGGAAAACCGCGCCAGAUGGGUCAGGUAAGAGUCGUGUCGAUCAGCAUAAAUCCCCAAAAACAGAUCGUUUAUUGAUCAAAAAUAAGGGAUGAUAAUCGUGACGAAUCCGGGAAUUCGCUUUUCCCGCGCAUCGCGAAUUAUUUAAUUAUUUACCAAACCGUUUCUUCAUUACUCGUAAGUAACUCUAAAAAGACCACCGAUUCAAGUGCACGCCCCUAUAGUAGAGACACACAGGGUGUUACGCGGUAAUACAGGAGCAGCGGAGAGCGUGCAUCCCUCCGCAAUAGCGCACGCACAUUUUUUCCCUCGUUUUCUUUCUGUACAGGUAUUUGUGUCUGUGUGUGGUGUAUGUGUGUGUAUGUAUGUAUGUAUAUAUUCCUUAUAAGCGUGUGCCAUGUGUAAAAUAGGCAGAUGACGGUUCUUCGAGAGUACGCGUUAUCUUCUUUUCUUCGAAGUUACGCACACACCUACGUACACACAUGCGCACACUCUCUUCCUCGCUCUCGUACACUCUCGUCGGUUCCUCUCUCUCUCUCUCUCUCUCUGUCUCUCAUCGCACGAUUGUUUUUUUUUUUAAUCAUUUUCCCUUUUUUUCGUAUUUUUUUCAUUAUUUAUUCUCCGAAGACCCUAUCUAAAAGAAACCCCCACAUUACUAUCUCUCGUUCUCUCUCUCUCUCUCUCUCUCACACACAAAGACUAGCGUUUUUUAAACGAUCCAAAAUAAACUAAGGGCACUUUUUAGUGGCUUAUGCCCCUUGUGUCGUCGACGUCGCGUGUGUUACGUUUCUUGUUUUUUUUUCUUUUUCUUUACGUUCCUCUUAUCCCGAGCUUUUUCAUCCAUUUUUUUUUUUAAUUUUUUAAUUUACUUUAUUCAUGAAAAAUCUAAUUCUGACUUCUUGUGUUAAACUUUGUUUUAUUACAGCACCUAUUCGACUUCCUAAGAGUCUCCCUAGAUCUCUUAACUAACUAUGACACAACUUGCCUUAAGGUCUAAAGAUUUUUUUCUUCAUAUUACAUGCUAACGCCUUCCUUUCGCCUCUGCCUUAAAAGUACUCUCGAAAUUCUACAAAUUGAUCCUCGCGCGCGUAUUUAAAAAGAGACCUCGGCGUCCGACAACAUCGUUCCCCCUUUUUAUCUCCUGCCUUUUUUCCUCUUUCUCUCUCGUUGAUCUUGGAAAGGUAAGCGGUACGCACGGGGUACGUGUCUCUCGUUCCGUCGUAAAAUUACAUUACAAAUUUCCGCCUCCUUCGUUGGUUCGUUCGCCGUCGAACACGAAGGACAAUAGCGGAGUACAAAUGCAAAAUGAAAGAAGGGAAGAG